UGGUACUGAGGUCACCCAGCCGGUCAGUUUUAAAGAGAGAUUUCGGGAGUCAACACUGUAAAUGGCUACAUGGCUGUUUCACACGCCUCUGAAAAAAGAGUUGCCAGAAAUGUGAGUGGGAAGGUGCUACUCAUGACCUCCUCUUGAGUUUUUACCCAAGUUUCUAUACUGGAUGCAUUCCUGUUUCUGGGGCUCGACCAAUUCAAGUCACACUCAGCUAUGACUUUGGGACGUUCAUUUGCUUCAUAGUCACAGGCAAUAAAAUGGAACUAGAGCUGGCCUAACCACCGCAGCCCCAUGUCCCACCCUUGAGCUGCUGGAGAAAAGGCAGGAUAAUGUCGGUCGCAAAGGAUCGAGAGCACACGAGGUUUAUUAUUUCAAGUCUACUUAGUCAACUAAUGGUCAGCCCUUAAUGGGUGCUAGGUAAAGAUCGAUGGAAUUCAAGGGGGAUUGUUUGUGGCAAUGUAAGGACUCUGAGCUGAUGACAUGUUCAACUCCGCCCUCAGCUCUGCCUGCUCUACGCCUACAAAUAUAUAACUAAUAAUACCAACAAGCAAAUAUUAAGUUCUGAGGCAAGCUGUAAGAUUUCCGCUUUCUUCAGCUCUGCUCCAUUUGUUGUCUAAGCUGCUUCUGAUCAUGUACAGCUCAAGUCUGCUUUACACACCCACUGUGUGUAUCCACUUCCCUUGUUCUACUCCAUUUUGUUCUACUCCAUUUGCUUGCCUUUUUAUUUCUCCAUGUGUUUUCUGUACAUCACCAAUCUUAUUUCUAAGGCCAGGAUUUACAUACCUAUUGCUCACAUAUUUUACUGAGCUGUCCUCAUUAGUGAAAUACCUUCUAGCUAAUAGACACGGUCUGGCGGCAUCCAUUAAACACCUCUCUAGAUCCUUCUGAUAUGAUUUGCUUCCUGUCUCCAUUUCCUUCCAUUUAGAAACACCAUGCCUUGUAAAAGACACAACAUUU